rnacentral:rRNA from 1 species
GCAAGUCGAACGGUAACAGGAAGCAGCUUGCUGCUUCGCUGACGAGUGGCGGACGGGUGGAGUAAUGUCUGGGAAACUGCCCGAUGGAGGGGAGUAACUACUGGAACGGUAGCUAAUACCGCAUAAUGUCGCAAGACCAAAGAGGGGGACCUUCGGGCCUCUUGCCAUCGGAUGUGCCCAGAUGGGAUUAGCUUGUUGGUGAGGUAACGGCUCACCAAGGCGACGAUCCCUAGCUGGUCUGAGAGGAUGACCAGCCACACUGGAACUGAGACACGGUCCAGACUCCUACGGGAGGCAGCAGUGGGGAAUAUUGCACAAUGGGCGCAAGCCUGAUGCAGCCAUGCCGCGUGUAAUGAAGAAGGCCUUCGGGUUGUAAAGUACUUUCAGCGGGGAGGAAGGUGUUGUGGUUAAUAACCGCAGCAAUUGACGUUACCCGCAGAAGAAGCACCGGCUAACUCCGUGCCAGCAGCAGC